UUUAUGCGUAUAUUUACUAGCGAGUUAUAUGAGAUUAAUCUAAAAUUUAAUUACAAUCUCCUUUUUUUGCCAUGGCCAACUUAAUUCUACUUAUAUUUAAAGCUUCUUCUUGACGAUGAUAAAGAGUGUUGAUCAUCAACAAACCUGUAGUAAUUAAAUAUUAAUCAAAUUAAACACAAUGUAAUAAUUACAAAUUAUUAGUAAUGUAAUAUAUAUGAGGAAGAAUGAAUUAAAAUAGUGUAUGAUUAAUUCCAUAUCACACAUAUAUGGCUGGAUUGAAGAAUUUAAUCAUAUAUAUAUAUAUAUAUAUAAUAGUAAUGAAAGGGAAACCAACCCAGCUGUGCGUUGAGGCAUUCUACGCAGGAGUCCAAGGAAUGAAAGGAGAGGUGGUAUGACACAUGGAGAAGAAAACGAGAAGUAGAAAACAAAAUCUAAAAUUCUGAUCCCGAAGGCCGCACGCGUUUCAACUUUUUUGACUGGAUACUCUACCUGUAUGCUUCCCUCUAGCAGCUGGAAUUUCUCGAGUCUUCUGUAAUUUAUGCAAUGGUUUGACACAGUCUACUCCAGUACACCCAACUUAGAACCAAUUACAGAAUAUAGGAAUAUACCUUUGGCUCUAUAUACAUCAGACUAUUACAUUUGCAUUGUACAAGUCAUACAAGAUUUUAUACACAGUCCGGUUAAGUUUACCUUACCCUCACAUCUUACUUCUCAUGUAGAAUUAACUGAUUAUAAAACACGAAAGCAAAGCAGACAGAGUUUGGACGGUUCAGAUGUUUAUCGGGAUUUGUACUUGGAAUGCAUGUUUCGUGUAUAAUGCAGCUGCAGAUGAUGUUUCCACUGAAGGUGCCAGUAUCUGUUG
rnacentral:lncRNA from 1 species